GUUCGGUUAAGUCCGGCAACGAGCGCAACCCACACUCUUAGUUGCCAGCAUUCAGUUGGGCACUCUAGGAGAACUGCCGGUGAUAAGCCGGAGGAAGGUGUGGAUGACGUCAAGUCCUCAUGGCCCUUACGGGUUGGGCUACACACGUGCUACAAUGGUGGUGACAAUGGGUUAAUCCCAAAAAGCCAUCUCAGUUCGGAUUGGGGUCUGCAACUCGACCCCAUGAAGUCGGAAUCGCUAGUAAUCGCGUAACAGCAUGACGCGGUGAAUACGUUCCCGGGUCUUGUACACACCGAAU
rnacentral:rRNA from 1 species